rnacentral:rRNA from 1 species
GGAUGCGAUCAUACCAGCACUAAAGCACGGAUCCCAUCAGAACUCCGCAGUUAAGCGUGCUUGGCGAGAGUAGUACUAGGAUGGGUGACCCCUGGGAAGUCCUCGUGUUGCAUCCC